rnacentral:lncRNA from 1 species
AAAAUCUUAUCUGCGAUUUAGACAAACAAGAAAAUACUUGCACAAGAAUAAUUUAUUGAAUUAAAAUAAAAUAUUGCGGGUUACAAACUCUAAUUUAAUCCUCUGAUUCUUCUCUCAAGAAAAAUAUAUGAUUGACUUUGAAUUUCGGAGACGAGUCGUUGACUUGAUCUUCUCCGGAUUUGAUUUGGAUUUGAAUAACGUCUUCCGAGGGUCUUGUGACUUGAAUCUCGGAUCGAACGCUGAACUUUGACGGAUUUUGACUUGAAGAUCUUGGAGUUCUUGAUGGAUUUGACCCUUCAAUCUUCCUUCGAUCUUGAUUUGAUGUUAAUAACGUUAAUUCGAGGGUUUAGCACCGUAAUCUCGAAUUAAACGCUUUAACGCCUUGAUUUGAUGAAGAAUACCUUCGAUUUGAUGAACUCCUCCGAUUUGAUGAAGAACUGAUGAACUCCUCCGAUUUGAUGAAGAACUGAUGAACUCCUCCGAUUUGAUGAAGAACGCCGUAGAGAGAAUUUUCUCCUACGGUUUUUC